rnacentral:tRNA from 1 species
GUAGGGGAACCUGCGGCUGGAUCACCUCCUUUCUAAGGAUGAUCCUUCAGCGAGCUUCGGCUCACUAUCGGAUCGUUUUAGAAACAUCAGUGGCCAACAGAUCGCCAGAUCGUUGAGCUGCAUUGGCGGGAUUUCGCCGUCUUCGUUUCUCUUUCUUCGCGGACGAACACGCGCUGGGCCUGCAUCGGCAGGAUCCGGGGUCCUUAACGGGAUAUGCGUUAGGGGCUUGUAGCUCAGUUGGUUAGAGCGCGCGCUUGAUAAGCGUGAGGUCGGAAGUUCAAGUCUUCCCAGGCCCACCACUUUCAUCGAGUGAGCAUUCGUCUUCUGGUUACGGGGCCAUAGCUCAGCUGGGAGAGCGCGUGCUUUGCAAGCAUGAGGUCGUCGGUUCGAUCCCGUCUGGCUCCACCAGAUGGUUUGAUCACCGGCAUCGUGCACCGUCGUCCGCGAAACAUCACUUCGCAUUCGCUAGCCUGGAUAGGCAGUGAACUGCGUGUUUUCUGACAUCGUAAAGAGGAGAUCGAUCCGAGUUGGGUCGUGCAGCAGAUUGUUGCGCGCAUCCUUCAUUAUCUCCGGAUCAUUUUCGGCGCUUGCCUACAGCCGUGAGGUUGAAUGCGAGUUGUAAAAUGAUCCUUUUAGCGAAGCUUGACCGCCUCGCUAUCGGAACGAUCUUACGAAGCAAGCUGGUCUUUCUAGUCAAUGUCCGGCUGCAGAUAGCGUUCAUCGAGGGCGCGUGCCGCAAGGCAAUUCUGCAGACAACAUUCUGCCGAGUGUGUGGACAUUGAUAAUGAGAGC